GGUUGUGGCUCAGUGGUAGAGUCCUUGCCUAGCAAGUAUGAGGCCCUGGGUUCGAUUUUCAGAACCA
rnacentral:tRNA from 1 species